rnacentral:rRNA from 1 species
AGAGUUUGAUUAUGGCUCAGGAUGAACGCUAGCGGGAGGCCUAACACAUGCAAGUCGAACGGGAUUGGUAGCAAUACCAUGAGAGUGGCGCACGGGUGAGUAACACGUAUGCAACCUACCUGUAACAGAGGGAUAGCCCAUAGAAAUGUGGAUUAACACCUCAUAGUUCUUAUUAGUCGCAUGACUGAAAAGAUAAAACUCCGGUGGUUACAGAUGGGCAUGCGUGACAUUAGCUAGUUGGUAAGGUAACGGCUUACCAAGGCUACGAUGUCUAGGGGUUCUGAGAGGAUGAUCCCCCACACUGGUACUGAGACACGGACCAGACUCCUACGGGAGGCAGCAGUGAGGAAUAUUGGUCAAUGGGCGCAAGCCUGAACCAGCCAUCCCGCGUGCAGGAUGGCGGCCCUAUGGGUUGUAAACUGCUUUUAUACACCAAGAAAAACACCCACGUGUGGGUGCCCGACGGUAGUGUAUGAAUAAGCAUCGGCUAACUCCGUGCCAGCAGCCGCGGUAAUACGGAGGAUGCAAGCGUUAUCCGGAUUCAUUGGGUUUAAAGGGUGCGUAGGCGGCUUUUUAAGUCAGUGGUGAAAUCCUGCCGCUUAACGGUAGAAUUGCCAUUGAUACUGAAGAGCUUGAGUACAUUUGAGGUAAGCGGAAUGUGUAGUGUGGCGGUGAAAUGCUUAGAUAUUACACAGAACACCAAUUGCGAAGGCAGCUUACUAAACUGAUACUGACGCUGAUGCACGAAAGCGUGGGGAGCGAACAGGAUUAGAUACCCUGGUAGUCCACGCCGUAAACGAUGUUCACUCGCUGUUUGCGAUACACAGCAAGCGGGCCAAGCGAAAGCAUUAAGUG